UACGGGGGGUGCAAGCGUUAUUCGGAAUUACUGGGCGUAAAGAGCGCGUAGGCGGUCUCUUAAGUCAGGUGUGAAAGCCCGGGGCUCAACCCUGGAAGUGCACUUGAAACUAAGGGACUUGAGUAUGGGAGAGGGAAGUGGAAUUCCUGGUGUAGCGGUGAAAUGCGUAGAUAUCAGGAGGAACACCGGUGGCGAAGGCGACUUCCUGGACCAAUACUGACGCUGAGGCGCGAAGGCGUGGGGAGCAAACAGG
rnacentral:rRNA from 1 species